CAAUAGCAUAUAUUAAAGUUGUUGCGGUUAAAAAGCUCGUAGUUGGAUUUCUGUUGGGGACUGCUGGUCUGCCUUCUGGGUGAGCACUGGCCUUGGCCACAACCAUUCUGGGGGUUGCUGCUGCGCUUGACUGUGUGGCACAGCCCUUGGAUACUUUCACUUUGAGGAAAUUGGAGUGUUUCAAGCAUGUCAUGCCGCUGCACACACAAGCAUGGGAUAACAUUGCUGAACUACAGCCUGCUUUGUGGGUUUCGUUGGCUGCAGGGAGGACAAAUGGAAAUGGUUGGGGGCAUCUGUAUUUGGCAGCCAGAGGUGAAAUUCUUGGAUUUGUGAAAGACAGGCGAAGGCAAAAGCAUUUGCCCAAGAUGUUUUCGUUGA
rnacentral:rRNA from 1 species